rnacentral:rRNA from 1 species
GAUGAACGCUGACAGAAUGCUUAACACAUGCAAGUCUUUGGCGAAUCUGUGCUUGCACCGGCUAGCCAAGGCGGACGGGUGAGUAACGCGUAAAGAACUUGCCCUGCAGACAGGGAUAACAGACGGAAACGACUGAUAACACCUGAUACAGUUGCCGGCACGCAUGUGCCUGGCAAUGAAAAGAGAUGCUGCAGGAGAGCUUUGCGUCCUAUUAGCUUGUUGGUGAGGUGACGGCUCACCAAGGCGAUGAUAGGUAGCCGGCCUGAGAGGGUGAACGGCCACAAGGGGACUGAGAUACGGCCCUUACUCCUACGGGAGGCAGCAGUGGUGAAUAUUGGACAAUGGGGGCAACCCUGAUCCAGCAAUUCUGUGUGCACGAAGAAGGUUUUCGGAUUGUAAAGUGCUUUCAGCAGGGAAGAAGAAAGUGACGGUACCUGCAGAAGAAGCGACGGCUAAAUACGUG